UACGUAGGGUGCAAGCUUGUCCGGAAUUAUUGGGCGUAAAGAGCUCGUAGGCGGUUUGUCGCGUCUGCUGUGAAAACCCGAGGCUCAACCUCGGGCCUGCAGUGGGUACGGGGCAGACUAGAGUGCGGUAGGGGGAGAUUGGAAUUCCUGGUGUAGCGGUGGAAUGCGCAGAUAUCAGGAGGAACACCGGUGGCGAAGGCGGAUCUCUGGGCCGUAACUGACGCUGAGGAGCGAAAGCAUGGGGAGCGAACAGG
rnacentral:rRNA from 1 species